UUCAACAAUGAAGAGUUUGAUCCUGGCUCAGGAUGAACGCUAGCGGCAGGCCUAACACAUGCAAGU
rnacentral:rRNA from 1 species